UUUCCGUAGGUGAACCUGCGGAAGGAUCAUUCAUAAUAAAGUGUUUUAUGGCACUUUUUAAAAUCCAUAUCCACCUUGUGUGCAAUGUUAGAUCUCGUCAAUCUUGGCGAGAUUUUUAUACAUCAACUCAUUCUUUAACUAAUUUGUCUGAAAAAUAUUAUGAAUACUUAAUUCAAAAUACAACUUUCAACAACGGAUCUCUUGGAUCUC
rnacentral:misc_RNA from 1 species